rnacentral:rRNA from 1 species
GGGUUGUGAGGUUAAGCGACUAAGCGUACACGGUGGAUGCCCUGGCAGUCAGAGGCGAUGAAGGACGUGCUAAUCUGCGAAAAGCGCCGGCGAGGUGAUAUGAACCCUUGACCCGGCGAUGUCCGAAUGGGGAAACCCAGUGCAAUCCGUUGCACUAUCGUUAACUGAAUACAUAGGUUAACGAGGCGAACCGGGGGAACUGAAACAUCUAAGUACCCCGAGGAAAAGAAAUCAACCGAGAUUCCCCCAGUAGCGGCGAGCGAACGGGGAGCAGCCCGGAGUCUGAAUCAGCUUGUGUGUUAGUGGAACGGUCUGGAAAGUCCGACGGUACAGGGUGAUAGUCCCGUACACGAAAGCACACAUGCUGUGAACUCGAAGAGUAGGGCGGGACACGUGGUAUCCUGUCUGAAUAUGGGGGGACCAUCCUCCAAGGCUAAAUACUCCUGACUGACCGAUAGUGAACCAGUACCGUGAGGGAAAGGCGAAAAGAACCCCGGCGAGGGGAGUGAAAAAGAACCUGAAACCGUGUACGUACAAGCAGUGGGAGCCUCUUUAUGGGGUGACUGCGUACCUUUUGUAUAAUGGGUCAGCGACUUAUAUUCUGUAGCAAGGUUAACCGUAUAGGGGAGCCGAAGGGAAACCGAGUCUUAACUGGGCGUUAAGUUGCAGGGUAUAGACCCGAAACCCGGUGAUCUAGCCAUGGGCAGGUUGAAGGUUGGGUAACACUAACUGGAGGACCGAACCGACUAAUGUUGAAAAAUUAGCGGAUGACCUGUGGCUGGGGGUGAAAGGCCAAUCAAACCGGGAGAUAGCUGGUUCUCCCCGAAAGCUAUUUAGGUAGCGCCUCGUGAAUUCAUCUUCGGGGGUAGAGCACUGUUUCGGCUAGGGGGCCAUCCCGGCUUACCAACCCGAUGCAAACUACGAAUACCGAAGAAUGUUAUCACGGGAGACACACGGCGGGUGCUAACGUCCGUCGUGAAGAGGGAAACAACCCAGACCGCCAGCUAAGGUCCCAAAGUCAUGGUUAAGUGGGAAACGAUGUGGGAAGGCACAGACAGCCAGGAUGUUGGCUUAGAAGCAGCCAUCAUUUAAAGAAAGCGUAAUAGCUCACUGGUCGAGUCGGCCUGCGCGGAAGAUGUAACGGGGCUAAACCAUGCACCGAAGCUGCGGCAGCGACACUUAUGUGUUGUUGGGUAGGGGAGCGUUCUGUAAGCCGUUGAAGGUGUGCUGUGAGGCAUGCUGGAGGUAUCAGAAGUGCGAAUGCUGACAUAAGUAACGAUAAAGCGGGUGAAAAGCCCGCUCGCCGGAAGACCAAGGGUUCCUGUCCAACGUUAAUCGGGGCAGGGUGAGUCGACCCCUAAGGCGAGGCCGAAAGGCGUAGUCGAUGGGAAACAGGUUAAUAUUCCUGUACUUGGUGUUACUGCGAAGGGGGGACGGAGAAGGCUAUGUCAGCCGGGCGACGGUUGUCCCGGUUUAAGCAUGUAGGCGGAGGUUCCAGGUAAAUCCGGUACCUUAUUAACGCUGAGGUGUGAUGACGAGGCACUACGGUGCUGAAGUGAUAAAUGCCCUGCUUCCAGGAAAAGCCUCUAAGCAUCAGGUAACACGAAAUCGUACCCCAAACCGACACAGGUGGUCAGGUAGAGAAUACCAAGGCGCUUGAGAGAACUCGGGUGAAGGAACUAGGCAAAAUGGUGCCGUAACUUCGGGAGAAGGCACGCUGAUGUGUAGGUGAAGCCCCUGCGGGCGGAGCUGAAAUCAGUCGAAGAUACCAGCUGGCUGCAACUGUUUAUUAAAAACACAGCACUGUGCAAACACGAAAGUGGACGUAUACGGUGUGACGCCUGCCCGGUGCCGGAAGGUUAAUUGAUGGGGUUAGCGGCAACGCGAAGCUCUUGAUCGAAGCCCCGGUAAACGGCGGCCGUAACUAUAACGGUCCUAAGGUAGCGAAAUUCCUUGUCGGGUAAGUUCCGACCUGCACGAAUGGCGUAAUGAUGGCCAGGCUGUCUCCACCCGAGACUCAGUGAAAUUGAACUCGCUGUGAAGAUGCAGUGUACCCGCGGCAAGACGGAAAGACCCCGUGAACCUUUACUAUAGCUUGACACUGAACACUGGUCCUUGAUGUGUAGGAUAGGUGGGAGGCUUUGAAGCGUGGACGCCAGUCUGCGUGGAGCCGACCUUGAAAUACCACCCUUUAAUGGCUGGUGUUCUAACGUAGACCCGUAAUCCGGGUUGCGGACAGUGUCUGGUGGGUAGUUUGACUGGGGCGGUCUCCUCCCAAAGAGUAACGGAGGAGCACGAAGGUUGGCUAAUCCUGGUCGGACAUCAGGAGGUUAGUGCAAUGGCAUAAGCCAGCUUGACUGCGAGCGUGACGGCGCGAGCAGGUGCGAAAGCAGGUCAUAGUGAUCCGGUGGUUCUGAAUGGAAGGGCCAUCGCUCAACGGAUAAAAGGUACUCCGGGGAUAACAGGCUGAUACCGCCCAAGAGUUCAUAUCGACGGCGGUGUUUGGCACCUCGAUGUCGGCUCAUCACAUCCUGGGGCUGAAGUAGGUCCCAAGGGUAUGGCUGUUCGCCAUUUAAAGUGGUACGCGAGCUGGGUUUAGAACGUCGUGAGACAGUUCGGUCCCUAUCUGCCGUGGGCGCUGGAGAAUUGAGGGGGGCUGCUCCUAGUACGAGAGGACCGGAGUGGACGCAUCACUGGUGUUCGGGUUGUCAUGCCAAUGGCACUGCCCGGUAGCUAAAUGCGGAAGAGAUAAGUGCUGAAAGCAUCUAAGCACGAAACUUGCCCCGAGAUGAGUUCUCCCUGACCCUUUAAGGGUCCUGAAGGAACGUUGAAGACGACGACGUUGAUAGGUCGGGUGUGUAAGCGCAGCGAUGCGUUGAGCUAACCGAUACUAAUGAACCGUGAGGCUUAACCUUACAACGCCGAAGGUGUUU